UGGGGAAUAUUGCACAAUGGGCGAAAGCCUGAUGCAGCAACGCCGCGUGAGUGAUGAAGGUCUUCGGAUUGUAAAGCUCUGUCUUUUGGGACGAUAAUGACGGUACCAAAGGAGGAAGCCACGGCUAACUACGUGCCAGCAGCCGCGGUAAUACGUAGGUGGCGAGCGUUGUCCGGAUUUACUGGGCGUAAAGGGUGCGUAGGCGGAUGUUUAAGUGAGAUGUGAAAUACCCGGGCUUAACUUGGGUGCUGCAUUUCAAACUGGAUAUCUAGAGUGCAGGAGAGGAGAAUGGAAUUCCUAGUGUAGCGGUGAAAUGCGUAGAGAUUAGGAAGAACACCAGUGGCGAAGGCGAUUCUCUGGACUGUAACUGACGCUGAGGCACGAAAGCGUGGGUAGCAAACAGGAUUAGAUACCCUGGUAGUCCACGCCGUAAACGAUGAGUACUAGGUGUAGGAGGUAUCGACCCCUUCUGUGCCGCAGUAAACACAUUAAGUACUCCGCCUGGGAAGUACCGAUCGCAAGAUUAAAACUCUAAAGUGAAUUGAC
rnacentral:rRNA from 1 species